AGCGGCGGACGGGUGACUAAUGCCUAAGAAAUUGCCCUGGUGUGGGGGAUAACCAUUGUAAACGAUGGCUAAUACCGCAUGAUGCCUACGGGCCAAAGAGGGGGACCUUCGGGCCUCUCGCGUCAGGAUAUGCCUAGGUGGGAUUAGCUAGUUGGUGAGGUAAGGGCUCACCAAGGCGACGAUCCCUAGCUGGUCUGAGAGGAUGAUCAGCCACACUGGAACUGAGACACGGUCCAGACUCCUACGGGAGGCAGCAGUGGGGAAUAUUGCACAAUGGGCGCAAGCCUGAUGCAGCCAUGCCGCGUGUGUGAAGAAGGCCUUCGGGUUGUAAAGCACUUUCAGUCGUGAGGAAGGUAGUGUAGUUAAUAGCUGCAUUAUUUGACGUUAGCGACAGAAGAAGCACCGGCUAACUCCGUGCCAGCAGCCGCGGUAAUACGGAGGGUGCGAGCGUUAAUCGGAAUUACUGGGCGUAAAGCGCAUGCAGGUGGUUUGUUAAGUCAGAUGUGAAAGCCCGGGGCUCAACCUCGGAAUAGCAUUUGAAACUGGCAAACUAGAGUACUGUAGAGGGGGGUAGAAUUUCAGGUGUAGCGGUGAAAUGCGUAGAGAUCUGAAGGAAUACCGGUGGCGAAGGCGGCCCCCUGGACAGAUACUGACACUCAGAUGCGAAAGCGUGGGGAGCAAAC
rnacentral:rRNA from 1 species